rnacentral:rRNA from 1 species
UGGGGAAUAUUGCACAAUGGGGGAAACCCUGAUGCAGCGACGCCGCGUGAACGAAGAAGGUAUUCGUAUCGUAAAGUUCUGUCCUAUGGGAAGAUAAUGACAGUACCAUAGAAGAAAGCUCCGGCUAAAUACGUGCCAGCAGCCGCGGUAAUACGUAUGGAGCGAGCGUUGUCCGGAAUUAUUGGGCGUAAAGGGUACGCAGGCGGUUUAAUAAGUCGAAUGUUAAAGAUCGGGGCUCAACCCCGUAAAGCAUUGGAAACUGAUAAACUUGAGUAGUGGAGAGGAAAGUGGAAUUCCUAGUGUAGUGGUGAAAUACGUAGAUAUUAGGAGGAAGACCAGUAGCGAAGGCGACUUUCUGGACACAAACUGACGCUGAGGUACGAAAGCGUGGGGAGCAAACAGGA